rnacentral:rRNA from 1 species
GUCGAACGGCAGCACGGAGCUUGCUCUGGUGGCGAGUGGCGAACGGGUGCGUAAUAUAUCGGAACGUACCCAAGAGUGGGGGAUAACGUAUCGAAAGUUACGCUAAUACCGCAUACGAUCUAWGGAUGAAAGCAGGGGACCUUCRGGCCUUGUGCUCCUGGAGCGGCCGAUAUCUGAUUAGCUAGUUGGUGGGGUAAAGGCCCACCAAGGCAACGAUCAGUAGCUGGUCUGAGAGGACGACCAGCCACACUGGAACUGAGACACGGUCCAGACUCCUACGGGAGGCAGCAGUGGGGAAUUUUGGACAAUGGGGGCAACCCUGAUCCAGCAAUGCCGCGUGAGUGAAGAAGGCCUUCGGGUUGUAAAGCUCUUUUGUCAGGGAAGAAAAGGGAUUGGCUAAUAUCCAGUCCUCAUGACGGUACCUGAAGAAUAAGCACCGGCUAACUACGUGCCAGCAGCCGCGGUAAUACGUAGGGUGCAAGCGUUAAUCGGAAUUACUGGGCGUAAAGCGUGCGCAGGCGGUUUUGUAAGACUGUCGUGAAAUCCCCGGGCUCAACCUGGGAAUGGCGAUGGUGACUGCAAGGCUAGAGUUUGGCAGAGGGGGGUAGAAUUCCACGUGUAGCAGUGAAAUGCGUAGAUAUGUGGAGGAACACCGAUGGCGAAGGCAGCCCCCUGGGUCAAAACUGACGCUCAUGCACGAAAGCGUGGGGAGCAAACAGGAUUAGAUACCCUGGUAGUCCACGCCCUAAACGAUGUCUACUAGUUGUCGGGUCUUAAUUGACUUGGUAACGCAGCUAACGCG